rnacentral:rRNA from 1 species
UACAGAGGUCCCAAGCGUUGUUCGGAUUCACUGGGCGUAAAGGGUGCGUAGGUGGCCAGGUAAGUUUGGUGUGAAAGCUCGGAGCUUAACUCCGAAAUGGCAUUGAAUACUAUCUGGCUGGAGGGUCGGAGGGGAGACUGGAAUUCUCGGUGUAGCAGUGAAAUGCGUAGAUAUCGAGAGGAACACCAGUGGCGAAGGCGAGUCUCUGGACGACUCCUGACACUGAGGCACGAAAGCUAGGGGAGCAAACAGG